rnacentral:rRNA from 1 species
UCGAGAGGCUUCGGCAAUGGGGGAAACCCUGACCGAGCGACGCCGCGUGGGUGAUGAAGAUUCUCGGAUCGUAAAACCCUGUCAGGUGGGAUGAAAAACCAUUCGGUUAAUACCCGAGUGGCUUGACAGUACCACCAGAGGAAGCACCGGCUAACUCUGUGCCAGCAGCCGCGGUAAUACAGAGGGUGCGAGCGUUGUCCGGAAUCACUGGGCGUAAAGGGCGCGUAGGUGGCCUGAUAAGUAGGGGGUGAAAUCUCGAGGCUCAACUUCGAGGCUGCCUCCUAAACUGCCAGGCUUGAGCAGAGUAGAGGCAGGUGGAAUUCCCGGUGUAGCGGUGGAAUGCGUAGAGAUCGGGAAGAACAUCGGUGGCGAAGGCGGCCUGCUGGGCUCUUGCUGACACUGAGGCGCGACAGCGUGGGGAGCAAACAGGAUUAGAUACCCUUGUAGUCCCUGAGCGGGCUGGCAAGGCGCAU